GCGGCCUCUCGUUCUUAAAGAGAUAGGAAAGAACUGACCUACUUUCUAUGGAGAUUCUUGUAAUAGGUGGGCUCAUUACAUCUGCCUAACCCAGGCUUGGUUCGGUAAAGACACCAUUCCAAGGAGCUCAGCUCACCCCUCUGCCUUGAAUCAUUUUCCCCUAAUCCCAUUUAAAAUGUAAUCAUUCGUUCAUUCCUUCAUUCAGUAGACAUCUAUAGAGCUUGCCUCGUGCUGGGCUCUAGAACACUAUGAGCUCACAGUACGGUGGUGGAGACAAGCCACCACACACGCAGUUCCCACAAGGUGUCCCCAAGAACUUCGGAGCUCAGAACAGGUGAUACUCACUCCUCCUUUGGGGAGAGGCCGUGGGCAUGGCUUCACUUUUCAGCUGGAUUAUAAAGGAUGUGAAGUUAGCCUGACUGAGCAGAAGGGGAGGGAAGACAGCACUCCAGGAAAGUGGAACGAACAACAGAGUCCAAAGGUAGGGAGGCAUGAAAAGCCUGCCUUGUUUGGGAAUGGGGAGCGCGCGGUGUGUGCAGUGGGGCAUGAGAUCCCUUCGGCCUCGGCAUGGGCAUCGCUUCCUUGGGAAGCCUUCCCUGAGCCCUAGAUGGGUUUGGGUCUCCUUGCUGUAUGUUCUCAGAGCUCUCUUGUAGACCUACCCUAAUGCACUUUACAUUUAUGAUGCUUGAGAAAUCUAUCUCAACCUGUGAGGUAUAAACAUGAAAUGAUGAUUAAGACUUAGUAAUGUCCAUCUUACACUUCAGUCUGAUAUUUACCUUCUUUAGCCGUAGCCCAACUUGUAGUUUCAGGGACUUUCAUGGUCCCUCUUCUUUUCAGUCCUGGAUUGUUGAGAUGGGGGUUAGGAGCAAACUUUUUUUUUUUUUUUGAGACAGAGUUUCACUCUGUCGCCCAGGCUGGAGCGCAGGAGCGCAGUGGCGCAAUCUCGGCUCACUGCAGCCUUCACCUCCUGGGCUCAGGCUAUUCUCCUGCCUCAACCUCUCGAGUAGCUGAGACUACAGGCACCCGCCACCACACCCGGCUAAUUUUGUGUUUUUAAUAGAGACGGGGUUUCGCCACGUUGACUAGGCUAGUCUUGAACUCCUGACCUCAGGUGAUCCACCUGCCUCGGCCUCCCAAAGUGCUGGGAUUACAGGUGUGAGCCACCGCGCCCGGCCGGACAAGCAUUUUCUUAAGGGACCUCCUGUGCUGAGAGUUAGGGGCCAUAGCAGCUUUACUGGAUAUUGUGGUCCGUUGGGGUUGAGAACACAAUUUUUUUUUUUUUUUUUUUUUUGUAAGAGAAGAGGUCUCAUUUUGCCACGCAGGCUAGUGCAAUCAUAGCUUAAGUAUCGAAUUCCUGGGCUCUCAAGGGAUCUUCCCGCCUUAGCCAUCCCGAGUAGCUGGGACUAUAGGCGAGUGCCCGCCACCACACUCUUUUAAUUUGUUCAUUUUUGGUAGAGACGGGGGUCUCAACAUCUUGCCCAAGCUGGUCUCAAACUCUUGGGCUCAGGUGAUCCUCCAGUCUCAGCCUCCCAAAGUGCUGGGAUUACAGACACGUGCCACCUCACCUGGCCGAAAAGAACUUUUAUCUGAGGAAUGAGAGUCCUUUUAAAUUAUCAGGCCCAGAUGGCUGGGCGCAGUGUUGGUGUUUGCAACCAGCCUGGGCAAUAUUGC
rnacentral:lncRNA from 1 species